GCCUAUGUGUAGGUAAGAAAUUGUUAUCAUGCUGUGUUUAAAAGACUGCAAUCAGAAAACAGAAGAAUUAUAUUGUUUGCCUAGAAUUAUUCUACACAACUACUGUUAAACUACUGCAACAUAAUUUAACAAACCUAAAAAUUGCUCCCUUCCUUCUCAGAAGGUUUCAGUAUCUUGGCCAAGUAACAGAACCUUUAACAAUAGUGUUUGGGAGAGAAGGGAACUAACAGUAUUCUGGAAUGCAGCCUACAAAUUUUGUAUAAAGACCCGCUUCCUUAUUGACAUAUUUAGCACUUCCCCAUCUAUAUGGCUGUUUGACAUAACAGAACAUUCUUAAGCAUAUGAACCAAUACCAAAAUUUGAUAAUAAAAAUUACUAUUAAAUAAUUAUUAAAAUUAAAUCUGAUAUACCCAAAGCAUAAGAAACUGAAAACUCUCCACUAAGAUAGUGUAACAGCUUCAGCUGCUAAAAUACAAGUCUUUAUUAAAAUUAAGGAAAACCCCAAAAUAUUAAGAACAAGAAGAAUAAAACUUCAUAGGACAACUGUACUACAGGCACCCCUUAACAGGAUGUGUACAUAUAGAAUGGGAACAAGAGAACAGUUAGUGCUUGAUGGUAAGGAAAAGCUCAUGGGCAAUGGCUGCCUUAAACUGAAAAUCUUAGCUGAACUUUUUUAAAGACAUGCUAAACAAACUAGAGAGUAAAGUUAAUGAGGUAUGGUAAUAUAUAUCUUUCCAUUCAAAAUUAAUUUGCAAUUCUGUAGUUUCUGUAUUUUGAAGCAGGGAAAACACCUAAAACGAAGGAACUUACGGAGAGCAUGACAGCAGAGGCAAGCACAGCAAUUACAGAACCCAUUUCUUUACAACUGCAAGCAACUAUAAGGAAAUUUAAAUCUAAAGGCUUUUACAAUACUGAGCCAAUUACACCCAGUUUACAACCAGAUGGCUUCCGAGACCUGCCCAGUCUUUGGACUGAUACCAAGUGGAAACUAUUAGAACAGGAAAAAGAAGGUGAGAAGAUAAGGUAGAAAACUUGGCUGACCAACCCAUUCAGUAAUUCUCAGUUCCAAAAAAAAAAAACAAACCAAAA